GACGAACGCUGGCGGCGUGCUUAACACAUGCAAGUCGAACGGAAAGGCCCUGCUUGCAGGGUACUCGAGUGGCGAACGGGUGAGUAACACGUGGGUGAACUGUCCUGUACUUCGGGAUAAGCCUUGGAAACUGUGUCUAAUAUCGGAUAUGACCUUCCAUGUAGUGUGGGGGGUGGAGAGAUUUAUCGGUGGGGGAUGAGCCCGCGGCCUAUCAGCUUGUUGGUGGGGUAGUGGCCUACCAAGGCGUCGACGGGUAGCCGGCCUGAGAGGGUGGCCGGCCACAUUGGGACUGAGAUACGGCCCAGACUCCUACGGGAGGCAGCAGUGGGGAAUAUUGCACAAUGGGCGGAAGCCUUAUGCAGCAACGCCGCGUGGGGGAUGACGGCCUUCGGGUUGUAAACCGCUUUCGACAGGGACGAAGCUUGGGUGACGGUACCUGUAUAAGAAGCACCGGCUAACUACGUG
rnacentral:rRNA from 1 species